GAUGAACGCUGGCGGCGUGCCUAAUACAUGCGAGUCGAGCGAACGGACGAGAAGCUUGCUUCUCUGAUGUUAGCGGCGGACGGGUGAGUAACACGUGGAUAACCUACCUAUAAGACUGGGAUAACUUCGGGAAACCGUAGCUAAUACCGGAUAAUAUUUUGAACCGCAUGGUUCAAAAGUGAAAGACGGUCUUGCUGUCACUUAUAGAUGGAUCCGCGCUGCAUUAGCUAGUUGGUAAGGUAACGGCUUACCAAGGCAACGAUGCAUAGCCGACCUGAGAGGGUGAUCGGCCACACUGGAACUGAGACACGGUCCAGGCUCCUACGGGAGGCAGCAGUAGGGAAUCUUCCGCAAUGGGCGAAAGCCUGACGGAGCAACGCCGCGUGAGUGAUGAAGGUCUUCGGAUCGUAAAACUCUGUUAUUAGGGAAGAACAUAUGUGUAAGUAACUGUGCACAUCUUGACGGUACCUAAUCAGAAAGCCACGGCUAACUACGUG
rnacentral:rRNA from 1 species